rnacentral:rRNA from 1 species
GGUUAAGUCAGGCAACGAGCGAGAUCCGCACCUUUAUUUGCCACCAAGAAGUCACGACUUCGUUGGGAACACUAAAGGGACCGCCGUCGAUAAGACGGAGGAAGGAGCGGGCAAAGGCAGGUCAGUAUGCCCCGAAACCCCUGGGCUACACGCGGGCUGCAAUGGUAUGAACAAUGGGCUGUGACUCCGAAAGGAGAAACCAAUCCCGAAAUCAUAUCUCAGUUGGAAUUGUCGGUUGUAACCCGCCGACAUGAACGCGGAAUCCCUAGUAAUCGUGUGUCAUCAUCGCACGGUGAAUACGUCCCUGCUCCUUGCACAAA